rnacentral:rRNA from 1 species
CCCUUAGAUGUUCUGGGCUGCACGCGCGCUACACUGAUGCGUUCAACGAGUUUUUGACCUUGCCUGACACGGUUGGGUAAUCUUGUUAAAACGCAUCGUGAUGGGGAUAGAUUAUUGCAAUUAUUGAUCUUCAACGAGGAAUUCCUAGUAAGCGUGAGUCAUCAGCUCGUGCUGAUUACGUCCCUGCCCUUUGUACACACCGCCCGUCGCUCCUACCGAUUGAAUGGUCCGGUGAAGCGUUCGGACCGUGGCCUUUGGACGGUUCGCCGUCUGUUGGCUGCGGGAAGUUCGUUAAACCUUAUCAUUUAGAGGAAGGAGAAGUCGUAACA